AUACGGAGGAUCCGAGCGUUAUCCGGAUUUAUUGGGUUUAAAGGGUGCGCAGGCGGCCAUUUAAGUCAGCGGUUAAAUCGUGGGGCUCAACCCCAUUCUGCCGUUGAUACUGGGUGGCUUGAUUGCGGUCGAGGUUGGCGGAAUUCGUUGUGUAGCGGGGAAAUGCAUAGAUAUGACGAAGAACACCGAUUACGUAGGCAGCUGACCAGAUCGCAAAUGACGCUCAUGCACGAAAGUGCGGGGAUCGAACAGGAUUAGAUACCCUGGUAGUCCGCACAGUAAACGAUGAAUACUUGUUUUCGGCGAUAUAAUGUCGGAGGCAAAGCGAAAGCGAUAAGUAUUCCACCUGGGGAGUACGCCGGCAACGGUGAAACUCAAAGGAAUUGACGGGG
rnacentral:rRNA from 1 species